rnacentral:rRNA from 1 species
UACGGAGGGUGCAAGCGUUAUCCGGAUUCACUGGGUUUAAAGGGUGCGUAGGUGGGUAAGUAAGUCAGUGGUGAAAGCCCUUCGCUUAACGAAGGAACUGCCAUUGAUACUGCAAAUCUUGAGUACAUUUGAUGUGGGGCGGAAUGUGUCAUGUAGCGGUGAAAUGCUUAGAUAUGACACAGAAACACCCGAUUGCGAAGGCAGCUCACAAACUGU